UACGGGGGGGGGCAAGCGUUGUUCGGAAUUACUGGGCGUAAAGGGCUCGUAGGUGGCCAACUAAGUCAGACGUGAAAUCCCUCGGCUUAACCGGGGAACUGCGUCUGAUACUGGAUGGCUUGAGUUUGGGAGAGGGACGCGGAAUUCCAGGUGUAGCGGUGAAAUGCGUAGAUAUCGCCUGGAACGCCGAAGGUGAAAACAGUCUGCUGGGGGCGCACCGACGCUGAGACACGAAAGCCAGGGGAGCGAACGGGG
rnacentral:rRNA from 1 species